GUAGUUUAACAACCAAAAAGAUGAGGCGGUAAGCAAAACCCCUCUUUGUGCCAAAAAGAUGAGCAGGUUUGGUGCAGUGCCGAGAGACAUGCCCGAAAAAGAUGGAAUCGAAAGAGGAAGCAAGCGCUCUUGCUUCCCACACCCAAUUAAGCUCAUCUCCAAGGGUGUGGAUUUUAUUCUUAAUCAAUCGGAUUGCCAAGAGGGAGUCUGAUUCCACUUUAAGCCGGGUACAAUAAAUAGUUUGGGCAUACUUAAAUCCUUCAAGAAUCCCUUUAAUUUCAGCCAGAAGAGGAGGUAAUGAAUAAGGAACAUACACGGAUUUGGCCACCAUCACAGCUCCAUCAGAACCCCGUAAAAGAAACCCCAAGCCCGAAGAUGAAUCCCUAAAUGCAGCGUCAGUGUUAAGCUUCAGAUAGCCUGUACUUGGAGGGUUCCAAAUCUGACUAUGGUGAAGAAAUCUGCUUUCCCCUUAAAAUCGAAUUUCGGUCACACCAGAUGGCCCAACAGAUAUGGUUAAAGACAAGGCAAUAGGAGGUAGACAUUCAAGCCAACUAUGCAGUAGUCGUUAUGGUGUAUUCUGAGCGGCGUCUGCACUUCCAAUGUCCCCGUAGAUGGUGUUAUAUACGGGGUCAGUAUCCACAACUAUGUAGCAGUCGCUACACAUGACAUUCGACAAAAGGGAUAUGGCCCACGUCAUGUCCCUAUCUACUGACAGCCUCAUAAUUAUCGACUUGUCAGCACCACUUUUGAACAGUGAAAGUCGUGUAAUUUUUUUUCUUUUUGGAAAACGAAGAUCUCUAGAGAUACGUUCACUGAAUUGUUGUAGGGUGGAAUUAAAUGGAAUUAAAAUGUGUUCGGUACUGAACCUUUGAUGAUUGUCCUGCUCCUUCCAGCUUCCAUCAUGUAAAACUGUGGUUAGGAAUGAUUGCAUA